GCAUCGAUAGCUCAGUGGCAGAGCGGUGGGGCGUUUACCCAUGCGGCCCGGGUUCGAUUCCCAGUCGAUGUA